rnacentral:rRNA from 1 species
CGAAUUCAGAUAAACUCCGAAUGCCAUGUACUUAUACUCGGGAGUCAGACUGCGAGUGAUAAGAUCCGUAGUCGAAAGGGAAACAGCCCAGACCACCAGUUAAGGUCCCCAAAUAUAUGUUAAGUGGAAAAGGAUGUGGGGUUGCUUAGACAACCAGGAUGUUGGCUUAGAAGCAGCCACCAUUGAAAGAGUGCGUAAUAGCUCACUGGUCGAGUGACCCCGCGCCGAAAAUGUACCGGGGCUAAACAUAUUACCGAAACUGUGGAUGAACCUCUUUAGAGGUUCGUGGUAGGAGAGCGUUCUAAGGGCGGUGAAGUCAGACCGGAAGGACUGGUGGAGCGCUUAGAAGUGAGAAUGCCGGUAUGAGUAGCGAAAGAAGGGUGAGAAUCCCUUCCACCGAAUAUCUAAGGUUUCCUGAGGAAGGCUCGUCCGCUCAGGGUUAGUCGGGACCUAAGCCGAGGCCGAUAGGCGUAGGCGAUGGACAACAGGUAGAGAUUCCUGUACCAGUGCUAAUUGUUUAACCGAUG